UCCUCAGUAGCUCAAUGGUGGAGCAGUCGGCUGUUAACCGAUUGGCCGUAGGUUCGAAUCCUAUCUGAGGAG
rnacentral:tRNA from 1 species